CCUACGGGAGGCAGCAGUGGGGAAUAUUGCUCACUGGGCGAAAGCCUGCCGCAGCGACGCCGCGUGAGGGAUGAAGGUCUUCGGAUCGUAAACCUCUGUCAGCAGGGAAGAACGGUCACUGUGCUAAUCAGCAGUGAAUUGACGGUACCUGCAAAGGAAGCACCGGCUAACUCCGUGCCAGCCGCCGCGCUAAUACGGCGGGUGCGAGCGUUAAUCGGAAUUACUGGGCGUAAAGCGCUCGUAGGCGGUAUGUCAAGUCAAGGGUGAAAUCCCCGCGCUCAACGUGGGAACUGCCCUUGAAACUGGCAAACUGGAGUGUGGGAGAGGAUAGUGGAAUUCCAGGUGUAGGAGUGAAAUCCGUAGAUAUCUGGAGGAACAUCAGUGGCGAAGGCGACUAUCUGGAACAUAACUGACGCUGAGGAGCGAAAGCGUGGGUAGCAAACAGGAUUAGAUACCCUUGUAGUC
rnacentral:rRNA from 1 species